ensembl:ncRNA F13H10.10 ncRNA
UCCGGAAAAGUUUAAAGUACGACUAAAAUCUAGGAUCAAAAAAUAGUUUUCGAUUUGAUUACUCGAACUUUCAGCAAAUAAUAACUCAAAAAGCGCCGAAAACAAACAAAACGUGAAAAGAAAAGGUGCGAAAAAUAAACAAAAACUGA